AACUUGGCUGUCGGAGGCUGUGCCCGACUCUGAAGUCACCGCUGACGGAUUCACUAUUACCCGUAUGGACAGAGACAGUGAGGCUACUGUUGUUUAUGUCCAUCCAAGAGCCAACAUUGUCAAUGCAGUUGGUCAAACAUGGUCUCCGACCAACUUAUAGACAGUUACUCAAAAAGGAGGUGGUGGAAAAACAAAUACAGGUGUGGGAAAAUGACAGUAUUGCUAAAUUGCAAGGAUGUUUUGAUUGUGCUACCUGGAGUGUAUUUGAAGAAUCCUCAGCUGACCUGAACCGAGAUGACGGAUGUAAUAUCUGUGAUAUCUGCCUAUAUUGAAUGUGUUUGCCUCCGGGAAUCCACUGAAACUGAACAAGUUCUUCACCCGCUUUGAAGCAGGUGGCGCACACGGUCCCCCGGCCUGUCAAGAGGAGGAUGUCAUGGCAACCAACAGUGUGCUUGUCAUCAAUGAGGAAUUCAUACAACGAGCACCAAAAGAGCCCGGUGCCUGAUAACUUAAGUGUUCAUGUCCUGAAACACUGUUCCACUCAGCUAAGCGGUGUCUUCUGCUCUUUUCCAGCGGUCCCUGGAUACAUUGAAUUUACAAUCUUUGUGAAAAAAAUGUAUUGUACCUGUCCCAGAAACUCCUCAUCCAUCUGCAUCAAAUGACUACAGACCUGUUGCUCUUACCUCUCUCUUGAUUAAAUCUUUUGAAAAGAUCACUAAGGCCUAUAUAAUCAACACCACCGAACACUAUCCACUAUCGGCAUAUCUAUUUUUUAUGGCCAUCGAAAUGUCAGCUAUUAAAAUCAGAUCCAACAAUAGUAUCAAGGGCCUAGAAAUCAAGGGUUUAAAAACGAUGGUGUCAUUGUAUGAUGAUGAUUCAUGUUUUCUUUUAAAUCCACAAUUUGGGUCCCUCAACAGCCUCAUAGAUGAUCUAGAUACUUUUUCUAACCUCUCUGGAUUACAAAAAAAUAUAAUAAUUGUACUAUGUUACAUGUUGGAUCACAGAAAAAUACAACUUGUACAUUACCAUAUAGUUUACCAAUAAAAUUGUCUGAUGGUGAAAUAAAUAAAUGAUCUCACUCCAAUGAAUGUUAAUAGAAAGUUAGCAAAAAUCGAUAAAGAUCUUGCUACCAUGAAAAGGAAAAUAUCUGUCUAUUUGUGGAAAAAUUACCCUGAUUAUCUCUUUAGUCAUAUCCCAGUUUACCUAUUUGCUUGUGGCCUUGCCUACAUCUAGCGACUUGUUCUUUUUAAUUAAAUGAGCAAAAUAUAUUCCAUUUGGAUUAAAAUGAUUAAAUAUUAAAACAUUAGACCUCUCACUAAAGGCUUCAGUCAUUUAAAAGUUACGUUUAAAUCCAAACUGGUUCUCUAGCAGAUUAGUAGGAAUGUCUCACCACAUGUUCAAUAAUGUCCCUUUUCCCUUCAUUCAGAUUACAACCUCCCACUGUAGGUUAUUUGAAAAUGAAAUGCUUUCCAAAAUAUUUAUAUUUUUAAACAAGCCAUAGAAAGUUGGUUGCAAUUUCAGUUUAAUCUACCAGAAAAGACAACCACAAAUAUUACAAUAAAUACUAUGGUUAAACUCAAAAUUACAACCAACUAAUUACAGCAUUACUGCUAAAAUGGAAGAGUCAAGUGGAAAGGGAAGAAAGUAAAAAACUUGUGAUGGCAAAAAAAAAUAUAUACCAGUUUAAUUUAAAUACAUUUUUACAGCUGUGCCAAAAUGAUAGCAAAAAAGUUGGGAAGAGAUUUUCGAUGUACCGAUUCCAUGGCACAUGGUUUAUGAAAUGAUACUCAAAACAAUGCUGAAUUAAAAAGUUUUAUAUUUAAAGUUUCCUACAAAAUCUUUGUUUUAUAUGUGUAUUUUAUAUACAGUGCAUUCGGAAAGUAUUCAGCCCCCUUGACUUUUUCCACAUUUUUUUUACGUUAAAGCCUUGUUCUAAAAUGGUUUAAAUAAACAUUUUCCCUCAUCAAUCUAAACAUAAUAACCCAUAAUGACAAAGAUAUUUACAAAAAUGUGAGGGGUGUACUCACUUUUGUGAUAUACCGUACAUACUUUUGUACCUUUUUUCUCCAGCAUCUUCACAAGGUCCUUUGCUGUUGUUCUGGGAUUUAUUUGCCCUUUUCGCACCACAGUACGUUCAUCUCUAGGAGACAGAACACAUCUCCUUCCUGAGCAGUAUGACGGCGGCGUGGUCCCAUGGUGUUUAUACUUGCGUACUGUUUGUACAGAUGAACGUGGUACCUUCAGGCGUUUGAAAAUUGUCCCAAGGAUGAACCAGACAUGUGGAGGUCUAAAUUUUUUGGGCUGAUUUCUUUUGCUUUUCCCAUGAUGUCAAGCAAAGAGGCACUGAGGUUGAAGGUAGGCCUUGAAAUACAUCCACAGGUACACCUCCAAUUGACUCAAAUUAUGUCAAUUAGCCUGUCAGACAUUUCUAAAGCCAUGCCAUAAUUUUCUGGAAUUUUCCAAGCUGUUUAAAGGCACAAUCAACUUGGUGUAUGUAAACGUCUGACCCACUGGCAUUGUGAUACAGUGAAUUAUAAGUGAAAUAAUCUGUCUGUAAACAAUUGUUUGAGAAAUUACUUGUGUCAUGCACAAAGUAGAUGUCCUAUCCGACUUGCCAAAACUAUAGUUUGUUAACAAUACAUUUGUGUAGUGGUUGAAAAACGAGUUUUAAUGACUCCAACCUAAGUGUAUGUAAACUUCCGUCUUCAACUGUAAAUUUGAUAUUUCAAUAUAAAUGCUCAUAAGAAUCCGCCUCUUUAUUUCAAUAUUCGCGUAAAAUUAUAUACCUAAAUCUAACUGCCUGUAGCAAGGAUAUGCAUAUUCUUGAUACCAUUUGAAACUAAACACUUUGAAGUUUGUGGAAAUGUUAAAAUAUUGUAGGGGAAUAUGACACAUUAGAUGUGUUAAAAGAUAACACAAAGGUAAAAUAAUAUUAUAUCAUCUUUGAAAUGCAAAAGAAAGGCCAUAAUGUGUUAUGCCAGCCCAGGUGCCAUUUAGAUUUUCAGCAGUGUAUGUGCACAGUUUUUUUAUUCUGAUCCAAUGAGCUAUUGCAUUUCUGUUCAAAAUGUUGUGUCAAGAUUGCCCACAUGUCCCUAAUUGGUUUAUUAAUACAUUUUCAAGUUCGUAACUGUGCACUCUCCUCAAACAAUAGCAUGGUAUUAUUUCACUGUGAUAGCUACUGUAAAUUGGACAGUGCAGUUAGAUUUUGUCACGUCUGCCCCCCCAGCGCUUGAGGACGCCAGGCUGCCCUGCAUUACUCACUCCUAUCAUCUAUUAUGCACACCUGCCUUCCCUCGUCACGUGCAUCAGCGAUAUUAGACUCACCUGUAUUCACUCAUCAUCUGUUUAUUUCCUCCCCUAUAUUUGUCAGUUCCCUUGCUCUGUUCCAAGGUGCUGCAUUGAUUGUCUUUUGUAUGUUCUACCUGUUUGCUGAUGCUGUUCCUGUCUCGUUCCAUGUUCAUCAUUUUUAAAAAUGUUUUACUCCCAGUACCUGCUUUGUCUCUCCAGCGUCAUUCCAAGUUAUAGAAUGCAGCAGCCAUCAUACGAAGCAUCGGGGCAUAAUGGCAUUCCGGUUGGUAUGGUGACAUCGGCUCUGGGUCUCCGCCGAUGGAACCGGGGGUGCCUAGCCAGCUCGUUGGGCUUCCACUCCCUAGCUGGCUCGAGAGGUUUCCUUGCCCCGGUUGGCUCGGAUGGCGCCCAUCCCACAUCACGCUCCUCUGGAAUCUCCUCCGCAGCGGGAUCGACAGGCGUCUUGCCUCAGCCGGAUGCUGACACUGUUCCUGUCUCAUUCCAUGUUUGUCAUUUAAUAAAUGUUUUACUCCCA